rnacentral:tRNA from 1 species
GGGUGAUUAGCUCAGUUGGUAGAGCAGCUGACUCUUAAUCAGCGGGUCGAAGGUUCGAGCCCUUCAUCACCCA